AGCUCCAAUAGCGUAUACUAAUGUUGUUGCAGUUAAAAAGCUCGUAGUCGGAUUUCAGAUUUGUUCUAUCACACUUCCAAAGUAUGUUAGAAUAAUUCUUCUUUGACAGAAGAGUUCUUGACAUUGAUUUGUUGAGUCUUUCAACUGUCUCUUUUACUUUGAGAAAAUUAGAGUGUUCAAAGCAGGUCUUAGCCUGAAUAUUACUCUUGGAAUAAUACUAUAGGACUCUGGUUCUUGUUUGUUGGUUUACAGGUGCCGGAGUAAUGAUUAAUAGCGACGGUUGGGGUCAUUCGUACUGCAAAGCGAGAGGUGAAAUUCUUGGACCUUUGUAUGACGAACAACUGCGAAAGCAUUUGACUAGGACGUUCGCG
rnacentral:rRNA from 1 species